CGGGGACCCGCACAAGCGGUGGAUGAUGUGGUUUAAUUCGAUGCAACGCGAAAAACCUUACCCACCUUUGUCAUGUACGGAAGGACCCAGAGAUGGAUUUGUGCUCGAAAGAGAACCGUAACACAGGUGCUGCAUGGCUGUCGUCAGCUCGUGUCGUGAGAUGUUGGGUUAAGUCCCGCAACGAGCGCAACCCUUGUCAUUAGUUGCUACAUUUAGUUGGGCACUCUAAUGAGACUGCCGGUGACAAACCGGAGGAAGGUGGGGAUGACGUCAAGUCCUCAUGGCCCCUAUAGGUGGGGCUACACACGUCAUACAAUGGCUGGUACAAAGGGUUGCCAACCCGCGAGGGGGAGCUAAUCCCAUAAAACCAGUCGUAGUCCGGAUCGCAGUCUGCAACUCGACUGCGUGAAGUCGGAAUCGCUAGUAAUCGUGGAUCAGAAUGUCACGGUGAAUACGUUCCCGGGUCUUGUACAC
rnacentral:rRNA from 1 species